rnacentral:lncRNA from 1 species
ACCCAACAAAGUACCUUCCUGAUGGGCCAGCUAUUUCAGAUGAUGAAGGUUUAAGAAGCAGCAUCAUCAGCGAACUGUGUUUUGAAGAUUUGAGGGAAGGGCUGACCUCAGGAUUUUAUACUAGGUAUUUGAUGCAAUGCAGACUGGAAUCCUCCCCACAAGGAUGCCCUGGCCUGAGUGGCACAGAGAUCAAUGCAGCAGUCAUUUCCUGGGCGGGGAAAGCCCAUCCACAGUGGCCCUGGAAUGAUGCUGGUCUUACCUUCUAUUCCUAGGAAGGCCCUAUCUCAAGUGGCUCUGGUCCAUGCAAACAGAUGGAAACGGGUGUGGGGAAGCACAGGCCUCCUACUCAUGUUAAGAGAGCUGCUCAGAGGCAGGAAUCCAGAACCAGGAAUGUCCCCAGUGGCUGCCCAAGGUACAAGUGGCAGGCAGCGGGGAGAAUGGCAUGUGAAGUCAUUUGUAACCUGGCCCCAGCUUGGUUUCCAAGUCUCAGAGGAGAUUAUGGAUAUGGUAGUGCCUGGCUCAGUGCUUAAAAUCCAUUCUCCUGCUAUUUCCCUCACCUACACUCAGCCCCACAAGCCGAGAUGUUUGCUGGACAUUUCAGGCACUGCCACCCAGUUCUGUCUACCUUACCUGCUAACACCUGUUGACCAUCCUUCAUGUGAAGGCUUCCCCAAAUACUUCCCAAUCAAAACACUAAAAGGCA